UUCCUAUUUUUUUCGUACCCUCUCUUUUUCAAAUUGCUUCUGGUCAUCCUAUUCUUUUAGAUUUGAUAAGUGUAUAGGAAGGGACCUUUUUCUAUUAUCAGAUAUCAGACACAAGUUUUGUGAUAGAUAUGAUAUACGGACUAAUCAGCAUAUGAAUACCCAGUUGAAUGAUUUACAAUCCAUAUCAGUACUCAUACUGAUACUAAGAAAGUAUUCUUUUUCAAGAUUUGAAGAUCAAAGAGAUUCCCUGUUCUUUGUAAUACAAUACUUAAUUAAUACUUAAUACUUUAGAAUGCUUAAGACUUUGACCCUGUCUUUUUUUUUUUUUUUUUAAAUUGACAUAAACCCAACCCCUCUCGNAAAAUGAAUAUGAUGCAUCSCGAAGGAUCAGGA
rnacentral:misc_RNA from 1 species